UGGGGAAUAUUGCACAAUGGGCGCAAGCCUGAUGCAGCCAUGCCGCGUGUAUGAAGAAGGCCUUCGGGUUGUAAAGUACUUUCAGCGGGGAGGAAGGUGUUGUGGUUAAUAACCACAGCAAUUGACGUUACCCGCAGAAGAAGCACCGGCUAACUCCGUGCCAGCAGCCGCGGUAAUACGGAGGGUGCAAGCGUUAAUCGGAAUUACUGGGCGUAAAGCGCACGCAGGCGGGCUGUCAAGUCGGAUGUGAAAUCCCCGGGCUCAACCUGGGAACUGCAUCCGAAACUGGCAGGCUUGAGUCUUGUAGAGGGGGGUAGAAUUCCAGGUGUAGCGGUGAAAUGCGUAGAGAUCUGGAGGAAUACCGGUGGCGAAGGCGGCCCCCUGGACAAAGACUGACGCUCAGGUGCGAAAGCGUGGGGAGCAAACA
rnacentral:rRNA from 1 species